UAACAAGGUCUCCGUAGGUGAACCUGCGGAGGGAUCAUUACAAGUGACCCCGGUUUACCACCGGGAUGUUCAUAACCCUUUGUUGUCCGACUCUGUUGCCUCCGGGGCGACCCUGCCUUCGGGCGGGGGCUCCGGGUGGACACUUCAAACUCUUGCGUAACUUUGCAGUCUGAGUAAAUUUAAUUAAUAAAUUAAAACUUUCAACAACGGAUCUCUUGGUUCUGGCAUCGAUGAAGAACGCAGCGAAAUGCGAUAAGUAAUGUGAAUUGCAGAAAUUCAGUGAAUCAUCGAAUCUUUGAACGCACAUUGCGCCCCCUGGUAUUCCGGGGGGCAUGCCUGUUCGAGCGUCAUUUCACCACUCAAGCCUCGCUUGGUAUUGGGCAACGCGGUCCGCCGCGUGCCUCAAAUCGACCGGCUGGGUCUUCUGUCCCCUAAGCGUUGUGGAAACUAUUCGCUAAAGGUGGUUCGGGAGGCUACGCCGUAAAACAACCCCAUUUCUAAGGUUGACCUCGGAUCAGGUAGGGAUACCCGCUGAACUUAAGCAUAUCAAUAAGCGGAGGAAAAGAAACCAACAGGGAUUGCUCUAGUAACGGCGAGUGAAGCAGCAAUAGCUCAAAUUUGAAAUCUGGCGUCUUCGGCGUCCGAGUUGUAAUUUGUAGAGGAUGCUUCUGAGUAGCCACCGACCUAAGUUCCUUGGAACAGGACGUCAUAGAGGGUGAGAAUCCCGUAUGCGGUCGGAAAGGCGCUCUACACGUAGCUCCUUCGACGAGUCGAGUUGUUUGGGAAUGCAGCUCUAAAUGGGAGGUAAAUUUCUUCUAAAGCUAAAUAUUGGACCAGAGACCGAUAGCGCACAAGUAGAGUGAUCGAAAGAUGAAAAGCACUUUGGAAA
rnacentral:rRNA from 1 species